GCCGGUGUGGUGGAAUUGGUAGACACAGGGGAUUUAAAAUCCCCCGGUAGCAAUGCUGUGCCGGUUCAAGUCCGGUCACCGGCA
rnacentral:tRNA from 1 species